rnacentral:lncRNA from 1 species
UUAAUGAGAAAACAGGAGUUUUCCCUUAUCUCAGAUUUAUCGUUUCUCUUGCCUUUCCCACCUGAAGGGGGAUGGCUGCGCACCUCUGACCAACACCUCAUCUGCCAGUUUCUGAGUGUGCUCUCCCCCUUCAGACGGUAUUCUUUUCAGUAACAACCAGAACUUUUAUACCCUCAGGUGGGUCCUCACCAGUGAUUCCUCUUCAUGAGCCCCAUUAAUAUUGAUGAAGGUCACACCUAAGCACCAAUAGGAGAAAAAACACCCUAAAGCAUAAAGGAUGAAUAUCUUAAAGCCCUGGUAGAGGCUGGCAUCUUCGAUACCUACAUGUGGUUUCAGUCAUAAUGGAGUAGAAGCCAACUUCCUGGAAAUGAGAUUUUAGGUGGUUACGUCCUAGAGUCUCUCCUCUGGUCUGCUUUCCCCUCUAGCUUGCACAUUCUUUGAUUUUGAAUUUUGUGAGAAAGCCUUUAAAAAACCCUGGUUUUAAAAAUUUCAAAUGUUGACUUAACUGUGCAAUUUCAAAAAAACAGGAAAACUGAAGUAAAUACCAUAGAGUCAUAGGAAGGCUUUGGGGGAGCGUGGGGGGAGAUGGUGCUUGUUUUAGUUUGGGCAGUCUUUUUGGAUAAGUAUUGAGAAUAUUUACAACAUUCUAUGAUUAUGUCACGUUUGUUUUGUGAGGGGAGACCAGGUUAGCUUUUGCAUAUAUAUUAUUUCUCUUAGUAUUUAAAUAUAUUUAAACAAUUUUGUGAAGCAGAGCUAGAAAAUAAUGGUGGUAUUUCAGACAGUAUUUUGAAAUUAUAAAUGUUACUUUAAAUUGAAUAAGAGAAAAUUUCCAGUAGUAGCUUACGUUACAAAAUUAAUUUAUAAUAUUUCUGCAUAAUUUUAUUGAGAUGACUUUUGUUUUUGUGGUGAAAAUAAUAUAGUGGCAACAAUUUUGAGGAAUCUUUAAAGCUGUCGUAGAAGGGACAGCCAAACUUUGGCUAGAUUUUUACUAGAAUUUUGAAAUAAGAAGUAUAUCAAUGUUACUUUUCAGUUCAAUUAGUCUUGAUGAAUAACAGUUAUUAUGUGAGUUUUAAGGGUCUUGAUAAAUUUGGGAUCUAUUCUUUUUCUAAAGCUCACGAUGUUCAUCACUGCUCAGUACUCUUGCAUUGUGUUUUAUUUCUCAAAAUAAUGUAAUUUUUAUGGAAAACUCAAUUAGUGGAAUCUUUUAUUCAAUAUUCCCUCACUUUGCUGCUUUCCUUCCUCCUCCC